CUGUGUGUUUUGUCGUUGUGAACUGAGCUAUCAUAGCAGCACGUCCACGAGAUGACUUCAGACAGAAUCAAUGUUGUUUUCAAUAAAAAAACAUUUGCACAAAGCAAGCCAAUCCACUUUUCCAUGUUGAUAAGAGCAUUAAAAUGAGAAAAAAUAAUGGGA